AGAGUUUGAUCAUGGCUCAGAUUGAACGCUGGCGGUAUGCUUAACACAUGCAAGUCGAACGGUAACAGCGGAGCUUGCUCCGGCUGACGAGUGGCGGACGGGUGAGUAACGCGUAGGAAUCUGCCUGAUAGUGGGGGACAACCUGGUGAAAACCAGGCUAAUACCGCAUACGCCCUACGGGGGAAAGCGGGGGAUCUUCGGACCUCGCGCUAUCAGAUGAGCCUGCGUCGGAUUAGCUAGUUGGUAAGGUAACGGCUUACCAAGGCGACGAUCCGUAGCUGGUUUGAGAGAACGACCAGCCACAUUGGGACUGAGACACGGCCCAGACUCCUACGAGAGGCAGCAGUGGGGAAUAUUGGACAAUGGGGGCAACCCUGAUCCAGCAAUACCGCGUGUGUGAAGAAGGCCCGAGGGUUGUAAAGCACUUUCAGUAGGGAAGAAAUGCCUGGGGUUAAUAGCCUCGGGUCUUGACGUAACCUACAGAAGAAGCACCGGCUAACUCCGUGCCAGCAGCCGCGGUAAUACGGAGGGUGCAAGCGUUAAUCGGAAUUA
rnacentral:rRNA from 1 species